GUGGUGGGACCAGGGGCUGGCUCCUGGGCUUGGAGAUGGAUGCGGCUCAUCCACAAGCAGCUGCACUGCUGUUGCUUUAUGCAGCUGGUUAAGAAGGAACUACACAAGGAUGGAGGAGUCUGACUCAGUCGUGUUAAGUUGCUUGGGGCCUUACAAACAGUCUGACUAUAUGUGUAGCUGCUUGUCCUGGGCUCUGGUUACCGAAAUCAAGAAGAGAUCAUUGGUAUUGUGUUCCCAAGAUAUAAGGCGUCCCAUCCUGGGACCAUCCACACAGCACCAGGUGGAGGGGAGAGCUCAUCCUGCUCUAUGGCACCCACAGCUGGCCCCACGCUGCAGUUCAACAUUAAAUGUGUGUGUUUGACUAUCAAUGUCCAAAUAACAUUUUUUAUAACAAUAUCCUGAUGCAAUCAGCUACACAGGCAGAGUUACUUGAUACACACUCUAGACCAAAGGUUUGUGCAGCUCAGCUGCACAAUUAAACCCAAAUUGCCCUUGAAUAAAAUCCCCCACAUCAUCAUUGGGGAAUUUUCCUAGUGCAUCUUGAGCAUUUGUACUUCUGGGGGAUGAUGGCUGUGGAGCACCAGAAAUCCCCACAGACCCAUCGCAGUGCUGACACAGCGGCUGUUGGGAAAAAGUGGCCAAGCCCUGGCUGUGUGGGACUUCAAGGCUGGAGCUGGCUUCUUGCUGCAGAGCUGCCAGGACGUGAUGGGACAGGCAGUGUUUGUCCUCCCGGCCAGGAGCUGUGUGCCACAUUUGAAUGAGGAGGUUGCUGCCCAUGGUUUGCAUGUGUGCAGAGCCCUGCCCUGCACCUACAUUUGUUAUUCUGAGACCAGCAGCCUGUCUGUCUGUUCAGUGCUGGGAGCAGCUACCCAGGGCUGGAAAACACAGCAGGUCAUGGACACGCUCUCCAAACCUCUGUCCACACCCAAAUGUGCUGUGCUCCCCGUGCCGGGCAGGGUGGUGGGGCAUGGGGAGACGAGGCGGCUGUGCUGCAAGUGUGGGUUGCUUCGGAGAAUUCGGUGGCCAUGGAGGAAGCGGUGUGACGCGCCCUCUCUGUUAAGCCUCACCGCAGCCUCACCGCCACAGCUAUUUCUGUGCUGAGGGGAGGUUUUCCAGUAAAAUGUGCGCUGGUGUCAAGAGUGGUGCGAUGACAGCCAGAGAGGAGCUGGGGGGGGCUUCCUGCUUCACCCUGCAGUGGGAUGGGACAUCCCUCGGCCAUGGGGCAGCACUGGGGAUAAGUGCAACAAGGCUGCUGGCAGGGGCGGCCCAGAGAUCUGCUGGGUCCCUCAUGUGUGGGGAAGGGCUGGGGGUGUGGGCAGGCAGGCCGAGAUGGCUGCGAGGCUGCUGGGGCCAUGUAUUGCAGCAGGAGGUGCCUGCACCCUGCCAGGUGGGGCCAAGCAGCUUCGCCAGGGCUGUUGGUGAAAGAGGCUUUGUGUACGGCUGGGAGCUGAUACGAUCUUAAGGCUCAAAGCUGGCAUGGCAUAAACAAGAGAUGAUUUUAAAUUAAAAAUAAGGCAACCCUUAAUAAAGAGCUCUCCCCAGCAAGCAAAUACUUCUGUGGACUCCACAGUGGCACUGGUGAAGGGGGCUCUGGUGAGCAUCCCUAGCGGCCAAGGCAGGAGAGCAGCGGGCCCACUCCAGCUCCCCAUGUCUGGCAGCACCUGAGGGCUGUGGCCCCAGCAGACCUGUGACUACUCCUUGGGGACAUUCCUCAGCCCUAUGGUUUCCUGGUGUCCCUAUCCCAAGUAAAAUCAGAGCAGGCUGACCCAGAGAGCUGGCUCCUGAUGGUGACAGCAAGCAGUCGGCAGCCCUGCCUUUGGGUCUUCACAUGCUGUGCUUCAUGGCUGCGCUGUCUGUGCCAUGUUGUUGGGCAGCCAGGCCUUGGGCCUUCCUGGGCCUGGGGCUGCUCCUGCUGGCAGUGCUGGUUCUCCAGCAGCCUUCACUGGGCAUUGUCCUCGUGCACUGGAAGCAAGUGUUGCGGGAGGAGGCAAUGCCGAGGUGCAGGGCUGGGUGCCACCCCCCUGCAUGCAGGCAUGUGCGCUUGCCUCAGGAGAAGGUUCAUCUAUUUGCCUCUGAGAGUGGCAUAUGCACUCGUUCCUGGAAGAGAAAGACAUCAGUGUUUUUAAGGAAGUAAGCAAAUGCUAAAGAAUAUCUUUUCAGAGUGGCCACCUCCCGCUUUCUUGAAUUCCUCAGGGACAAUGAGCGCUUUGUAACCUUGCGGUGCUCUCAGCAGCCAAAACAACUUCUGUGUGAUCUCAGCGGCUGUAAAUCAACGAGCUCCAUCGGGUGCUAUUGCUAGGGUAAAUUCAGUGCUGAUUGCUUUGAUCUGCAAUGCUUUUUAUUUUUUACCCUCUACAGAGAUACACACAAGGUCAGGCUAAUGGCUGAGACAUGAAAAACACAUGUGGCCUUUAUUGAUCCUGCCAUGAUUAACGGCCCAGAGGGAAGGCUGGUGAUUCAUGCCCGCUUGUGAGUGCCCGUGAGUGCGAGCUGUGGGCCUGGGCACCCGAGCUGCUUCCUGCUGCUUCGGGGCCUGCAGACACGGUUCUCACGGAUGUCCUUGCACUGGGCAAAUAGAAAUUUGUAUGCAGUACACUUGCAAACUGGCGUCUAUUUCUGUUUGUCAUUUACUUUCUCUGUCCAUUUUGGAAAUAGAUCAAAACCAAGCCAACCUGAAACCUUAUUUCAGUCAUGUUGACAAAGCUUCUUUCCUUUCCUGAUAGCGCGGGUGGGCCAAGAAGAGAGUCCUUGAGAAGGCCAUAACACAGAGCCUCCCCGGCCUGAUUUUAGGCGAUGUUGUGGCAGUCCCAGCAGGAUGAAUCCCCCGCUGCUGCUCCUGUGGGCUGGGCAAGGCCCAAGGCUCUGCAGAGUCCAGCCUUUUGGGUACCAGCAUGUGAGCUCUCAAUAAAGCAGCUUGCUGCAGCUGCUUGCUGCGAUUAGCCUCGCAGGCUAUGGAUUUUGGAAAGCAUUUCCACCCCACUGAGCAUCCGUGGCUUGCUGGUGGCAGGCCCCGGGGGCUGCUCCAGAUGCGCUGCCCCAGCCCACCCCAAUGGCAGGGACCCCAGCCACAGGGCUCGCUGCGUGCCCAGGGCACAGCUGUCAACCCGCACAUGGGGAAGUCAUCCUAAUGUUGGAAGGGGAAAUCAGGCCCUGCUGGGAGGAUCUGGACAGUGGUUAUGUAACUUUCCCAUUUGACACUUGAGAACACUUCCCCCCGGCCGCCUGCCUGAGCCAUGUGACUGACGAAAGGCAUCACGCUGCCACCAAGGCCCUCGCGGUGCUCCCCAGCAUCCCAGCCACUGCUGCCCAUGCCUGCCCCAAGCCUGGUGCCCACUGCAGCACUCAUUGCCUGCUCACUUGCUUCUGCUUUUAUCCUGUCUUGCAGGUGCUGUGGAGUAUUUCCAAUGCCCCUUACUAAGAGCAAAGACAUGGUUUAUCUUGGGCAGUGCCAUUGAGGGGACAAAGCUUUGCUGCCAGAACGAUUGCAGGAGCCAUGCCCCCCAUAUCCCCAGCUGAUUGCACCCCUUGUGAGAGCCUGGAAGCCAGCCCCAUGUGCUGAGCAGUCAACAGACACCAGAAGAUAGCACCUCAGCACCACCUGAAGGUCAAGGCACAAGGGUGGGCUCCACAAACCCAAAGUGGGCACGUCCCCAUGCAGGGAUGGGCACAGCUGAUGAGUGCAGGACGGUAACCACCUUCCUACCCACGGGGACGCUCCCCGAAGCCCUGCACUUUGCGACUCUUCUCCCACCACAGGACUCCUGCAGCUUGCCUAUGAAGAACCCAGCUCCACGCUUGGAUUAUCUUUGUUUUCUAGCAGUAGAUUUAACUCUAUGUGAUCCUUGCAAAGCACUUGCACUUUCUUUAAUCUUCCCCACAUGAAGGAUUACUUCUGCUUAAUAAGCACGAUGGCCUGGCUGGACCCUCCAAUCACCAGGGCACGCACCCUCCUAGAGCAGGGCUUUCACGUGCAGCAGCCAGCACCAUCUGCCCAUGCUGUUCCCACAGCACAGCCAGAACUCAGAGGCAGUGAGGUACCACACUGGACUUAGCCUCAACACCUGAUCCCCUGCUGCUUGUGUAAAAUGCUUCCAUUCCACCAUGAUGAGUUUCUUAAGUACUGUUGAGUUUGUUUUCUUUGAAACACAGUUCUGCACAGGAUGUGUUUUUAGCCUGAAUUUCAUUUCCAGUUUCUAAGUCCUUUCCUCCCACUCCUUUCAUCCAAUCUCAGAAAAGCUGACUACCGCACCAAUUCAAGGCAGUCCCUCCCCGAGGAGAAAGAGCCGAUGUGUUUCCUCCUCCCUGCAGCCCCACGCACACAAAGCGAAGUGACUACACCAACGUUCACAUAACGUGCCCCUUGGAGCAGACUGCGCCCCAGCUCCCAGGGUGACUGUUUUCUGCCAUGCGCCCUGUUUUAACAGUUGUAGCCAUACUGCCUGCCAGAGGAGCAGGGAUGGAAAAAAAUGGAAGAACGAAGGCACUGCCAUGGACAAAGUUACAGGAAUUUGCCAGAAGACACAGCAUUAUUGUAUAAAUCAUUAGCUACCUCAGGAAUGGAUCUGAUGGGAGAAACUGGAAAAGAAAGUAACACUGCUGUUCUAAGGCAUGCUGCAACAUAGACUCAGUCUGCACAUUUCUGAACAUCCCCUUGCAUCCCACUCCUGAGAUCUCUAUGAAAAUGCUCCAGUGGAUUUCCUGGCUAAGGGACGUGUAGGAUUACCUUUACUCCAACUUGCCAGUGACAUGAAGGUGUUUGCAUGCCUGUGCAGCCAUUUUUCCACUUUAAUAUUCUGCCUGAGCAGUUGAUAGAACACUACUGCUCGCUUAUAGUCUGGAAUUCAAUUGUCUUUUGAACAGAUAUGGUUAUUGGCACUGUGAUACAUGCACCCUUUCACAGACAUACCACCACUACGCAGGAUUUUAAGUACAGGCUGUGCACAUUGAACAGAAGCACCCUCAGAGUCCCCUGGCUGUGCUCUCCAUCCCCAGCAGCAGCACUUCUCACAUAGAGUAUGAGCUCAGGCUUCCCUGAGCUCCUCGUACCUUGUAUGAGGCAAGCAGGGCUGCCUCUGUAGCACAGCUAGCUGCUUUUACAGUGGCAGCUGUUUGUUUUUCACUGUACAAAGCAUCAAAGGACAACAGUCAUUUCUGCUGGCCAUGUUUUUAUUUGUCUUUCGUUUUAAACAGGGGAGCCAAUGAUACAUCCAGUAUUUCAAAAAAUCAGAAGGUAAAACAAAUUUUCAGAAGACCGAGAUGCUACAUGCUAUAUUUAACCUAAUUUUAUUCAUGCUUGCUUUUGAGGGGCAGCGGGAAGGGGGCAGGAAUCAUUCAGUAAAAACAUACAGUAAAAACAAAAUGUCUCACCAUAUAGAACUUUAACCUACAGUAAUGUUGUACCUUAAUUAUUUCCAUGCACACAACUAACAUUACAAAAUUUGUUUAAAAUGAACACAA